GCCGCUUCGAGCUGGUUCAUCCCAUAUUUUACAUGAAUGUGGUUCUUGCAAAUGAGAAAUUCGGAGUAAUCUUCACCUACGCACGCGUUCUUCAUCUUCGGAUGUUGAACCUGUGACUGCCCGUGAGGGCCUGGCGCGAAUGCGUCUGCAAUCAGCAUCAGAAACUCAGAGCUGGUGUAUUUCCUUGGAAAUAUCAUCCAGGUUUCUCUAUGGAAGAGCUGUUGCGAAGAUCGUGUGUACAUAAGUAUGCCACUUGAGUGCAAUACGCAGCGUUCUCUCUGCUUUCAAUCUAUUGAUAGGAAAGGGUUCCAUUCGAUUCCGAUUACUCUGAUGUGGG
rnacentral:RNase_P_RNA from 1 species